UACGGGGGGGGCAAGCGUUGUUCGGAAUUACUGGGCGUAAAGGGUAGGUAGGUGGUCUCAUUUGUCUGGGGUGAAAGCCUUGAGCUUAACUCAAGAAGUGCCCCAGAAACGGUGAGACUGGAGUCCUGGAGAGGGUCGUGGAAUUCCCGGUGUAGCGGUGAAAUGCGUAGAGAUCGGGAGGAACACCAGAGGCGAAAGCGGCGACCUGGACAGGUACUGACACUCAACUACGAAAGCGUGGGGAGCAAACAGG
rnacentral:rRNA from 1 species